AAUAACAUGAACCAAAUAAUUUUAAAAUCAAAACCAAAUAAUUUCACCAGCAUUAACAAUCAGCAAUAAACCAAAUAAUUUAAAAAUCAAAACCAAUAAUCAGCAAUACAGCAUGACAUUAUGGGGAAAUCGAAGCAAGCAGAACACAGUUCACAAGCAAGCAAGCAUCAAUUACUCAAAGCAAGCAGCAUGGCAUUUUGGGGAAAUCGAAGAGAAGAGAAGAGAGGAGAUGACAUACCUCCAGUUGAAUCCACCAGCAACAAACCUCCACAAGAAACAAACCUCCACCAGAAACAAACCUCCUGCAUGCAAAAUCAAAAGAUUGAAUCAUUGAACUGAACUGAGCCCUAGCCACCGCGACCGGCCUCGCCUCGCCGUGCACAGUUAUAAAAGAGAGAAGAGAGAUUGAAUCAUUUAAGAGAUUCAAUCGAUUUGAGAGAAGAGUGAGAGAGUUGAGAGAGCGACAGAGUUGAGCGACAAGUCAAAUCAACAAUAUAGAAAAGUAACAAUACAAACUAAUUAACAAAAUAGCUCAUGAAAUAAACAAAAUCAAUAACACAAUAGAAACCUAAUUGGCUCACCAAAUACCUAUGUGUUAUCCUUUGUUUUCAUCUUAGCUGCCAACUUCUAUUUUGGACAAGGGAGAUGCACAUUAUAGGGUUAAUCAAGCCAUAGUACGUAUUUGCAUAGGUAAUUAAUUUCCAAAGUUUUGAUGUCAGAAACUUUAUGAAACUAAAUACAAAAGCUAACACUAGAAUAACAGUACCUAACAUAUACACGUACUUAUGCUCAUAAAGCACUGGUGCUCAUUUAUUAGGUUUCCUAUGAUGAUAUAAACCAAUGGAACAAUGACUCAUACCCGAUUUAUAAUAAAUUUGCAAUUUUUACCUAUGCUUGAGAACAAUAUGAAUAUGGUGCUUCAAAAUAGAUACUGGAGACUAACGAAAACAAAUCCAAGAAAUUUAGAGAAGUUAAACAAGCACCUCGAUCAAUACUUAGGAUAAAGUUUUUAAUAACAUUUUUUAUGUAUUCCUAUCAGACAAGAAGACAGAGCGAGAGAGAUAGAGAGAACGCAUACCAAAUCUGAAUUGAAAUCGAUUUGAAAUCCAAAUCUGAGUCUACAAAUGAAUUGAAAUCCAAAUCUGAGUCUACAAAUCUCUACCGCUGCUUGCUCCAAGUCACCUGAAUUGAAAUCGAAACUUAAAUUCAUAUCCAUCGAAUCGAAAUUGAUUU
rnacentral:lncRNA from 1 species